CCCUUAGACGUUCUGGGCCGCACGCGCGCUACACUGACCAGUGCAACAAGCAUCCGUCCUUGGCCGACAGGCCCGGGCAAUCUUUGAACGCUGGUCGUGAUGGGGAUAGACUUUUGCAAUUUUUGGUCUUCAACGAGGAAUUCCUAGUAAACGCAAGUCAUCAACUUGCAUUGAUUACGUCCCUGCCCUUUGUACACACCGCCCGUCGCACCUACCGAUUGAAUGGUCGGGUGAAGCCUCCGGAUUGGCGCGCACCUCGGUGCCGCCGAGAAGUUGGCUAAACCUUACCAUUUAGAGGAAGGUGAAGUCGUAACA
rnacentral:rRNA from 1 species